rnacentral:rRNA from 15 species
AAAUUAGAGUUUGGUGCUGGCUCAGCUUUCAUGCGCCGAGCGGUGGUUUAUACAUGCGAGCUUAAAAGAUUAAGGCCACGAGUGCGUAAUACGCGAGUUUAAAUUUAUUAUACAAAAGUUGCUAGGUGACCCAAUACGGGCAUCGGGCAAAACUCGCGUAGGAUUAGCGAGCUGGGUCGCGACGCCAAUACAGCGGCCCAUGGCUUAUCCUUAGCCUGUCUUAACGGUACUAGGCCACGGUGGCACUGAAAAGGGGCCACGGUUCUUAUGAACCCAGCAGUGUUGAAUUUUGGACAAUCGCUUGAACGGCGGAUCCAGAUGCUGCUUACAAAAUUGUUUGUGAACACCCCCCAAGCACGUGCCAGAAGGGUCGGUAAAACGUGCGGUGUCAGUAUAAAGCGUCUUGACUAGGCAGGCAGCGCGUCUGAGCGUUAAUGGUGAACACUUUAAACGUUGGGUAAUAUUCGGAGGAUCGGUCAAAUGAGAAUAUUCCGGAUGGAAAGCCGAAGGCGAAAGCACCAACAUCAGAGUCACUAAAGCUUCAACGCGUAAGUUUGGGUAGCGAACCGGAUUAGAGACCCGCAGUAGUCCAAACCGUCAACACAUUAUAGUUUUCAAAUCUAUAACGCCUGGUGAUACGGUGGCAACACUAUAAAUCAAAGCAAUUGGCAGCGAUAGAGAUGCGCGGUGGAAUAUGCUGUUUAAAUCGAAUUUACGCGCAAAAUCUUACCACUUUUUAUUAAAAUAGCUCUUGCAUUGCUGAAAAGUUCGAGCGGGACCUCGCCCUUAGUGCCGGUCUUUGCCACGUUUUCUGAACGGUCGAGCAAGUCAUCAUGGGGCUUAUAGAGUGGGCUACAGGCGUAUUACAUUGGACACCCACAAGUUGGAUACCAAAACUGUCCGAAUAUACGGAUUGGAGUAGCAAAACGAGAGAACUAUACAGUUCGUUUGCAUCGUUAUGCCUUGCUGAAACUAGCCUCCAUGAAGAAGGAAUCGCGAGUAAUCGUAGAUCAUUAGCGCUACGGUGAAGGUAACCUCUAUUGUGCACACAUUGCCCGUCACCUCCGAUAAUAGUAUUGUACAGGAAGAACUAUGGCUACACUUAAGUCGCGGCCUAGGAACGUAUGCGUGAUAUUAGAGUUGGAGUAAGUCGUAACAGGUUGGGGUAGGGGAACCUGCUCCAGAGUCAAAUUUAUAUAA